AAUGAAGUGUCUGAUUAAAAGAAUUAUUUUGAUAGAAUAAAGUAUGUGAAAAUAUUCACCUUCAUUA
rnacentral:tRNA from 1 species